rnacentral:rRNA from 1 species
AUUGAACGCUGGCGGCAUGCCUUACACAUGCAAGUCGAACGGCAGCACGGGUGCUUGCACCUGGUGGCGAGUGGCGAACGGGUGAGUAAUACAUCGGAACGUACCUUAUCGUGGGGGAUAACGCAGCGAAAGCUGUGCUAAUACCGCAUAAGCCCUGAGGGGGAAAGCGGGGGAUCGAAAGACCUCGCGCGAUUAGAGCGGCCGAUGCCUGAUUAGCUUGUUGGUGGGGUAAAAGCCCACCAAGGCGACGAUCAGUAGCUGGUCUGAGAGGACGAUCAGCCACACUGGGACUGAGACACGGCCCAGACUCCUACGGGAGGCAGCAGUGGGGAAUUUUGGACAAUGGGGGCAACCCUGAUCCAGCAAUGCUGCGUGAGUGAAGAAGGCCUUCGGGUUGUAAAGCUCUUUUGUCAGGGAAGAAACAGCAGCUCUAACACAGUCUGCGAAUGACGGUACCUGAAGAAUAAGCACCGGCUAACUACGUGCCAGCAGCCGCAGUAA